UGUCGUCCAGCCCGGAGAUCUUAAUCCUCCCCAGCUCCACGGCGGGGCUCACGGUGACCCCAAAAGGGCUUUUGGGGAUGGGGUCUCCUCCGUACUUCACUGACACCUCCAGGUUACCCUGCUGCACGGGGGUGUAUGUGACGGUGUGUGUCCCGUCGCGGUUGUCGCGCACCUCGAGGUCCCGCACGGCGUCGCCCUUUCCGGGCCCGCUCACCUCCACGUCCAGCGCGGCGCGCCCGGCGCCUUUGCUCAGCACCGUGAACUGCGUGGGCUUCCCCAGCUCCAGCCCGGUGCGGCUGAGCCCCGGCCCCUCCGCCUUCACUUUGCUGGCGUCGUGUGAGGGGUCGACGCGGACCCGGAUGGGGCUGCUGGGGGUCGGCUGGUCGGCGAAGAGCACCAUGACGGUGUGCAUCCCGGCGCCCCGCGGGGUGUAGCGCACAGUGAACGUAUCGUCGGCGUUGCGCAGAAUGUCGAAGUCCAGGUCGGCCUCCGCCGGGCCCACCACGCCCGGGGCGCUCUUAAUGCCGA
rnacentral:lncRNA from 1 species